rnacentral:rRNA from 1 species
CGCGGCCUAUCAGCUUGUUGGUGAGGUAACGGCUCACCAAGGCAUCGACGGGUAGCUGGUCUGAGAGGACGAUCAGCCACACUGGGACUGAGACACGGCCCAGACUCCUACGGGAGGCAGCAGUGGGGAAUCUUGCGCAAUGGGCGAAAGCCUGACGCAGCAACGCCGCGUGAGGGAAGACGGCUCUCGGGUUGGAAACCUCUUUCCUCAGGGACGAAAUUGACGGUACCUGCAUAAGAAGCGCCGGCCAACUACGUGCCAACAACCGCGGUAACACGUACGGGGCAAGCGUUGUCCGGAUUUAUUGGGCGUAAAGAGCUCGUAGGCGGUUUCGUAAGUCGGGUGUGAAAACUCAGGGCUCAACUCUGAGACGCCACUCGAUACUGCGAUGACUUGACUCCGGUAGGGGAGCAGGGAAUUCCUGGUGUAGCAGUGAAAUGCGCAUAUAUCAGGAGGAACACCAUUAGCGAAGGCGCUGCUCUGGGCCGGUGCUGACGCUGACGAUCGAAAGCGUGCCGAGCGAACAGGAUUAGAUACCCUGGUAGUCCACGCCGUAAACGUUGGGCACUAGGUGUGGGUCUCAUCCUACGAGAUCCGUGCCGUAGCUAACGCAUUAAGUGCCCCGCCUGCUGAGUACGG